GGCUGGGUGGCGCAAUGGUAGCGCGUUACUUUCCGGUUAAACACCACUGGUAAAGGUUCAGAGUUCGAGCCUCUGCCCGGUCG